AUAAUUCUUUUCAAGAGAAGAGUAGUUUGUGGCGCUAUUUACAGAGAUUCCCGUUUUGGUGCGAAGGGAAAAUGGUUAAGCGAAUGAAGAUGAGCUCUGAGGAUUCGAGUUGGUUCACGCUGGCUCGACGGGUGCGACCGUUAUAUUGCCAGGCUUAUAUUUCCGCGAAGGAGUAUGUGCUGAUGAGGCGCUAAGUUGAAAAACUUAGGCGAAUAAGGGUGGUACCACGAUCAAUACUCGUCCCUUUG
rnacentral:ncRNA from 1 species